rnacentral:rRNA from 1 species
GACGAACGCUGGCGGCGUGCUUAACACAUGCAAGUCGAACGGAAAGGCCCUAGUUUUGUGGGGUGCUCGAGUGGCGAACGGGUGAGUAACACGUGAGUGAUCUGCCCUGUACUUCGGGAUAACCUUAGGAAACUGGGGCUAAUACCGGAUAUGAGGUCCUCCUGGAUGGGGGGGGUUGGAACGUUUGGGCGUUUGGGGAAGGGCGCGGGGUUUCUGAUUGUUGUGGGGGGGUGGUGGCAUCCCAGGGCUUUGAGGGAUCGGCGGCCUGAGGGGGUGACCGCCCACUGGGGGACUGAGAUACGGCCCAGACUCCUACGGGGGAGAACAGUGGGGAAUUGUGCACAAGGGGCGGGAGCCAGAUGCAGCAGCGCCGCGGGCGGGAUGACGGCCUUCGGGGUAUAAACCGCUUUCGCCUGUGACGAAGCGUUAGUGACGGUAAGGUGUAAAGAAGCACCGGCUAACUACGUG